rnacentral:rRNA from 1 species
AUGAACGCUUGCGGCGUGCCUAAUACCUGCAAGUCGAGCGAACGGACGAGAAGCUUGCUUCUCUGAUGUUAGCGGCGGACGGGUGAGUAACACGUGGAUAACCUACCUAUAAGACUGGGAUAACUUCGGGAAACCGGAGCUAAUACCGGAUAAUAUUUUGAACCGCAUGGUUCAAAAGUGAAAGACGGUCUUGCUGUCACUUAUAGAUGGAUCCGCGCUGCAUUAGCUAGUUGGUAAGGUAACGGCUUACCAAGGCAACGAUGCAUAGCCGACCUGAGAGGGUGAUCGGCCACACUAGAACUGAGACACGGUCCAGACUCCUACGGGAGGCAGCAGUAGGGAAUCUUCCGCAAUGGGCGGAAGCCUGACGGAGCAACGCCGCGUGAGUGAUGAAGGUCUUCGGAUCGUAAAACUCUGUUAUUAGGGAAGAACAUAUGUGUAAGUAACUGUGCACAUCUUGACGGUACCUAAUCAGAAAGCCACGGCUAACUACGUG